GAUGAACGCUGGCGGCGUGCCUAACACAUGCAAGUCGAACGAAGCGCUUUGAAGUUUUCGGACAGAUGAGUGACUGAGUGGCGGACGGGUGAGUAACGCGUGGGUAACCUGCCUCAUACAGGGGGAUAACAGUUAGAAAUGACUGCUAAUACCGCAUAAGCGCACAGUACCGCAUGGUACAGUGUGAAAAACUCCGGUGGUAUGAGAUGGACCUGCGUCUGAUUAGCUAGUUGGUGAGGUAACGGCCUACCAAGUCGACGAUCAGUAGCCGACCUGAGAGGGUGAUCGGCCACAUUGGGACUGAGACACGGCCCAAACUCCUACGGGAGGCAGCAGUGGGGAAUAUUGGGCAAUGGGGGAAACCCUGACCCAGCAACGCCGCGUGGAGGAAGAAGGUUUUCGGAUCGUAAACUCCUGUCCUCAGGGAAGAGCAGAAGACGGUACCUGAGGAGGAAGCCCCGGCUAACUACGUG
rnacentral:rRNA from 1 species